CCUUUUCGGAGGUACUCGAGUGGCGAACGGGUGAGUAACACGUGGGUGACCUGCCCUGCACUCUGGGAUAAGCCUGGGAAACUGGGUCUAAUACCGGAUAGGACCGCACUUUAGUGUGUGUGGUGGAAAGUUUUUUCGGUGUAGGAUGAGCCCGCGGCCUAUCAGCUUGUUGGUGGGGUAAUGGCCUACCAAGGCGGCGACGGGUAGCCGGACUGAGAGGUUGGUCGGCCACAUUGGGACUGAGAUACGGCCCAG
rnacentral:rRNA from 1 species